UACGUAGGGGGCAAGCGUUGUCCGGAAUCAUUGGGCGUAAAGAGCGCGCAGGCGGCUUGGCAAGUCGGGUGUGAAAUCCCGGGGCUCAACCCCGGGACUGCAUUCGAUACUGUCGGGCCUAGAGUCCGGAAGAGGCGAGUGGAAUUCCCGGUGUGAGCGGUGAAAUGCGCAGAUAUCGGGAAGAACACCCCGUGGCGAAGGCGGUUCUCUGGGACGGUACUGACGCUGAGACGCGAAAGCGUGGGGAGCGAACAG
rnacentral:rRNA from 1 species